GCUCCAGCCCUGGCGCCGAGGGACCGGCCACCCCCUCCCGGCCCCGACGGUCACUUACGGUGGGGGCGGGUGCCGCCGGGAGCGCUGCCGGCCGCGGGGACGGACCCCGGCCCGCCUGCGACAGGGGUGCCGGCCGGGAGGGGGGCGGCCUCCCGUUCGGUGUCGGAAGGGUGAAUGUUUGCCGGAAACCCGGGCGUUUAUUCCACUUGGCAGAAGCGCAGGGGGUCGGGGAGGGGGCAGGGGUGCGACGGGCGGCACGCGGUGCCCGGGGAAGGGGGCGAAGAGCGGGGCCCGAUGUGCCCGCUCGCCGCUCGGCUCUCGGAUCCGCUACCCGGUGGCUGCCGCCGUGAGUCACCCCCGGCCGCGGCAGCGUCAGCCUCGCCGCGGCGUUGGCAGCCAGACGAGCCGCGGCGCGGAGCCGCCGCUGUCCUCGCAUGAACCCGGCGGGGCUGCCAGCGCCAGCCGAGUGCGCGCAAGGCGAGAGCCGAGGCUGUGCCGGCGCGGCGGCGUGCGACACCCCUGCGGCGGGGAUGGCGGAGCCGGGGCGGGGGGCGGGAGCGGGGGGGGGCAGCCCCUCGGCGGCCGGGCCCGAAAGAAAUACAGAUGCAAAAGCAGGACGUGGGUAAAUGAGAGAAGAUAAGGUAUUGCUCCUGCAAGCAGAACAUCCUGUCUUCAAAGUGGAUUUCUAGCACCCACUGUGCUGCAACGCACUCCAGCCACAUAAGUCAACUGAUACAUCCCUGCUAACUUGUCCAAAGAGGAUUUUAUUCCUCUUCCACACCAUCAGAUCGAGCCCUGUGUCCAGUUGCUUCCCUGCAGUGAUACCAUGGACUCUUCAAGCACCACCCUAGGGAUAUGAUUUCUGUUGCAUCAAUACUGACACUAUUUGUGGAUGAUUUAAGAUUCUUUUCUGCAGAGGUCCUGCUUACUGAAUUUGGGCAGCUCCAUCUUCAAAAUUUAUUUAUCGUUCCACCAAUUUUAAUUUCCUCCCUAAUUUACUAAGCACUGUUUAAAUAGGGAUGUACUUGUCUCUCAACCAUUGAGGGCAGUACUGGGGCCUGCCAAGAGUAACACCCAUUUCUGCAAACUGACUCCAGAGCUUUCCUUCAGAGCUGACAGCUGCUUUUUGACACCUAUCAGUUAGUCAGUUCUUAAUCCCCUCAGCAGUCACUCAAUACCUGUUGUACAGUACUCAUUUGUAUUAAAUGCUUAGACAGAGAAGGCAAACAAGUGUAUUUCAAUGCUGAAAAAAUGGGCUAAGAACUUAAGUCCUGGAAAGUGUUAAAAAGCUAAUCCCAACUGGUGCCUAAACACUUACAAGCACUCAGACUUACGUGACUCAUUGUAGGUCCACAGUUAUGAAACCUCAUGCUUUGUAUAUUUUUCUGUUGAUAUUAAUUUCUCUUAUCUGUGAAAGAAAAACUUAGACUGUUGGAUAGACCACACAUUGCCUUUUGUAGUCACACACACAGAACUUCCCUUUUGUUUCUCUGCAUCUUCACAGGUAACUAUUCUUUUUCAAAAAUAAUUGUCAAUGUCAGUGUAAAUCUUUCAGAUAGUAUUUCUAAUAUUGUUGAGUUCAGAUCAUGGAGCUUUGGUGACUUUCAUCCAUAUAUUCAAGUAUUCCCUCAUCUGUUUCUAUCAAUAGGAUUUAUUUAUUUGUGUCACAGUGUUUCUUUCU
ensembl:lncRNA